rnacentral:rRNA from 1 species
AACGUAGGGGGCCAGCGUUGCUCGGAAUUACUGGGCGUAAAGCGCACGCAGGCGGUCUGUCAAGUCGGAUGUGAAAUCCCCGGGCUCAACCUGGGAACUGCAUUCGAAACUGGCAGGCUAGAGUCUUGUAGAGGGGGGUAGAAUUCCAGGUGUAGCGGUGAAAUGCGUAGAGAUCUGGAGGAAUACCGGUGGCGAAGGCGGCCCCCUGGACAAAGACUGACGCUCAGGUGCGAAAGCGUGGGGAGCAAACAGG